AUAUUUAGUGUUUUUAAGUAAAUCGUAAAAUGAAAUUAUACGAUUGAAGAUAAAAGAAUCGACUUUUAAGGUUAAAUCGUUUAAUAUUGAUAGAGAAGAGUAGUGUGAACGAAAGGUUAAAAGCUAUUAUAAAAGAAAAGUGAAAAGACCCUGAAACUUAAUGUUAAAUCUGUUAACGCAUAAGCUAUAACGUACCUUUUGCAUAAUGGGCUAGCGAGUUAAUAAAAAUAGCAAGCUUAAUUAAAUAAAUAGGCGCAGUGAAAACAUUUAAAGUUAUUUUUAUUAGACCCGAAGCUGAUCGAUCUAAUUAUGAACAAGUCGAAAGGAAACUUAGGACUGAACCCGUGAAUGUUGCAAAAUUCUGGGAUGAUUUGUAAUUAGGGGUGAAAGGCUAAUCAAGAUCAGUGAUAGCUGGUUCUCUGCGAAAAUUAUUUAAGUAAUAGUGAUGAGAAUAAAAAUUUAAGGUAAAGUAAUCUUAGAAUAAAACAUUUUUAAAAGAAGUAACUUUUUUAGAAGCUAUAAAUGUAAAUUUUUAAAUUCAUCAACACAGACGUAAUCGCGCAAAGGUGAUAUGUCGAGAGGGAAACAGCCCAGAUUGAAAAUUAAGGUAUUUAAUAAUAGUUAAGUAAAAAGAAAAAAAAUUAAUAUACUAUUUAGAAGAUAGGCUUGGAAGCAGCCACUCAUUAAAGAAAGCGUAAAAGCUCACUAUUUAAGUAAAGUAUUAUGAUUAAAAAUACAAAUUAAUUUUUUUUCGAUAAUGUAGAGAUAUUAAAACUAUUAACCGAAAUUUCAAAAGUAUAACUUGGUAGCAGAGUGAUUUGUAUUUCAAUGAAGAAAAAUUGUAAAAUUUUUUUGAGAAAUCAAUUUUAAUUAUGCUAGCAUUAGUAACGAAAAAUAAUAUUAAAUUUAUUAUUACCGAAAAUUCUAAAGUUUCACCACAAGGGAAAUCCUUGGUGUAAAAACGUCCUCUUAAAAAAAGAUGAAAAUCGUAUGUUUGAAGAGAUUACUAAUAUUACUUUUAAAUUUAUAUAUUUUUAAUAAAAGUUAUUUUUUAAAUAUAAAAAUUUAGAACUAGAAAUAAAUUAGUUUUUAAACGUAUAAAAUCCGACACAGGUGAAUGAGUAGAAAAUACUAAGGUAACGAAAGAAUGUGAUUGAAGGAACUCGGCAAAAUAACCCCGUAACUUUGGGAGAAGGGGGACUAUAAUUAGUAACAUAAAAGAGGAGGUAGCGACUGUUUACUAAAAACACAGGACUCUGCUAAAUUUUAUAAUGAUGUAUAGAGUCUGACGCCUGCCCAGUGCUGCAAGAUAAAAAACUAUAAGUAUAGCUUAUUAGUUUAAGUCCCAGUAAACGGCGGCUGUAACCCUGACGGUCCGAAGGUAGCGAAAUUCCUUGGCGGGUAAGUUCCGUCCUGCAUGAAUGGCGUAACGACUGCCUCACUGUCUCCAGUCAUAAUUCGGUGAAAUUGAAUUUUAGGUGAAAAUGCCUAAAAAGAACAGCGGGACGGAAAGACCCUAUGCACCUUUACUAGAACCUUGUAUUAUUUUAAACUUUUAAUAUUAUAUGGGAGAAUUUUCUUUUACCAUAUAUAUUAAAAUUUAUUUUUUAAAAAAAUUUAAACAUUUUUUUUUAUAUUGCAAGGAUGCUAGUUUCACUGGGGCGGUGGCCUCCUAAAAAGUAACGGGGGUGUGCAAAGGUUUAAUUAAACAUAAUUUAUUAUGUGAUCAUUGUAAUGAAUCAAAUUAAACUUGAUUUUAAAACUUACAAGUUUUAAAAGGAUAAAAAUUUGUCUGUCAUAGUGACCCGAUAUAUUUUAUCGAUAAAGAUAUCGAUUAACGGAUAAAAGGUACGCUAGGGAUAACAGGCUAAUGACUCCCAAGAGUUCCCAUCGACGGAGUUGAUUGGCACCUCGAUGUCGGCUCAUCAUAUCCUGGUUGAGAAUAAUCUUCCAAGGGUCGGUCUGUUCUACCGUUAAAAUGGUACGUGAGCUGGGUUUAGAACGUCGUGAGACAGUUCGGUCCCUAUCUGCUGUUAAAUACGAAAAAACUAAGAAUCUUGCUCUAGUACGAGAGGACCGAGAUAGAUUAAUCAAUGAUUCGACGAUUGUUUAAAUUAAGCAGGUCGUUAAGUUAAAUUAAGAUCGAAUAAUUACUGAAUAUUAUUUAAGUAAGAAGUUUAUCUUUUGUUUUUUCUUAAAAAUAAAUUUAAGAUUAAAAAUUUAAAUAUAAUUUUAAUGGACAAAACUUAUAUUUUGAAGUUAAAAUUAAUAUAUUAUUAAACUCUUAUAUU
rnacentral:rRNA from 1 species